UCUGAACGCUGGCGGCGUGGCUAAGACAUGCAAGUCGAACGGUGUAGCAAUACACAGUGGCGGACGGGUGAGUAAUGAUCGCUAAUGUACCCUUAGGCCAGGGAUAGCCAUCUGAAAGGAUGGGUAAUACCUGAUGUUUUAACUCUUGGGCAUCCUUGAGUUCACAAAGCAGCAAUGCACCUUUGGAGCAGGCGAUUUCGUAUCAGGUAGUUGGUGAGGUAACGGCUCACCAAGCCGACGACGCGUAGCCGGGCUGAGAGGUUGGCCGGCCACAUUGGGACUGAGACACUG
rnacentral:rRNA from 1 species